AAGNGNGGCAGUAAUUUCACGUCGAAUUGCAAACUCGAAGAAGCCGUAUUUUUCUGGCCCGGACU
rnacentral:tRNA from 1 species